rnacentral:rRNA from 1 species
CUUGCUCUACAUAAGAGGUCCAGCCUGCCCAGUGACAUAGUUCAACGGCCGCGGUAUCCUAACCGUGCGAAGGUAGCGUAAUCACUUGUUCUUUAAAUAAGGACUAGUAUGAAAGGCACCACGAGAGUCAUACUGUCUCCUUUCUCUAAUCAGUGAAACUAAUCCCCCCGUGAAGAAGCGGGAAUAAGAAUAUAAGACGAGAAGACCCCAUGGAGCUUUAAACAAAUAACACCUGCCCCCCAACCCCUAACUUCAGAGAAAUUUUUUAUCCUGGCAUCAUGAUUAUUAGUUUUCGGUUGGGGUGACCACGGAACAAAAAACAACCUCCGCAAUGAAAGCACAUCCACUUAAUCAAGAGCUACAACCCGACACAUCAACAAAUUGACACAAUUGACCCAACAUAUUGAUCAAUGAAC